UGGGGAAUAUUGGACAAUGGGGGGCAACCCUGAUCCAGCAAUGCCGCGUGUGUGAAGAAGGUCUUCGGAUUGUAAAGCACUUUCGACGGGGACGAUGAUGACGGUACCCGUAGAAGAAGCCCCGGCUAACUUCGUGCCAGCAGCCGCGGUAAUACGAAGGGGGCUAGCGUUGCUCGGAAUGACUGGGCGUAAAGGGCGUGUAGGCGGUUUACACAGUCAGAUGUGAAAUCCCCGGGCUUAACCUGGGAGCUGCAUUUGAUACGUGUAGACUAGAGUGUGAGAGAGGGUUGUGGAAUUCCCAGUGUAGAGGUGAA
rnacentral:rRNA from 1 species